CAUCUCUGUGGUGUUCACACACUUUAUAACCCUCAAACAGAAAAUGAAAGCCAAUGAUGAGGCAUGGAACUCAAAGGGACUUCCCUGAUUAACUGAAGAAGGAAACUACACUCAUCCCCAGGCCGUAUGCUGAGAGAUAUUAUCAGCAGUCGACCCGCUCCACAGCUUUACCAGAUCAGCAUCAGAUCAUCUGUGGAGGCUUCAGGGACCGAGUGGGAGAGAGGAGUGAGGGGACUGACAGUACACUAAAACUGCCUGAGGACAAAAAUCUGCAUAUUGUUGUACUUCAAAACAACAUUAAACCUGAACAGUGGGUGAGCGGGAGUGUAAUUGUGCAGCAAAUUAAAGCACGACUGCGCAUUCAAUCCCUAAUAAUCGUUGAUUGAUGCAAUAAAAUACUUGACUUGUUUGCUGAAAACUGUGUCAGUGUUAACACUCUGAUAAAAUACUUCCUCACAGCAUCGACACUUCACAGAGAACAUUAUCAACAAGUCUGCAGACGUUCAUUCAUUUCCUUCAGAGCCGACUGACAGUUUGACAGCCUGACCACUUGGCAGCUGAGAACAUCUGGCUGCUGUUAAACUCUAUACCAUCGCUGGCUGUCAACGAGCACUCACAUCUCUGCACCUUCGUGUUUUCAGACCUGCUUCAUAGACAACUGUUGUGUCUGGCAAAGCUCACGGCUUUUAACUUUUAAGUUUUAAGUCUCUAACAACUGCUGCAUUAACUGCAUUUUUAUAUUUCUAACACUUGCCUCUGUUACCACGAGCUGAGUAAUAAUGUGAACUCAUCAAACCCAUGCAAUGUUCUGACAGGAAAUGACAAAGCCAAAUAAACAAUAUCACACCCUGA